rnacentral:rRNA from 7 species
GAAGUAGCAGGCCUAACCGUAAGGAGGGAUGCUCCGAGGGUGUGAUUAGCGAUUGGGGUGAAGUCGUAACAAGGUAUCCGUACGGGAACGUGCGGAUGGAUCACCUCCUUU